rnacentral:rRNA from 1 species
GUCUACGGCCAUACCACCUUGAACACCCAAUCUCAUUUCAUCUCGGAAGCUAAGCAGGGUCUGGCCUGGUUCAGUACUUGGAUGGGGGACUAAAGAACAAGAAACUUGGAAUCCUAGCAA